AACACUGGAUCUCCUACUUCAGUUUUGUCUGCUCAUGGUUCAGACAUGCUGGGAUCAGCAUCUUUGCAUCAACAAAACAGAUGCUCUUCACCGACUUCAUGUACCACUGAUGUACCCUCUAUUGGUCUAGCUGUAAUUGAGAAGCAACCUGAAAUAUUCAAAGAAGAAGAUAAAGGUUGUCUCUCCUCAACUCAGAUGCCCAGUGGCUUGACCUUGGGAAAUUUACCUUCAAUGGUACAGUAAAAUCUCAGCUCAUAACUAGUUUACAUCAUUCUUAGAUGACCGCGGGAUUGUGACUUUGUUUUUUGUGAUCUUGAUCGUAACUCUUCCAGAAUUGUGAUUUAAGUUCAAGAAACACUUCUUCUCCUGAGGAAAUUGGAGGCACUGAAGCACCCUCCAUCAAGCUCUUUGGAAGGACAGUUUUGGUCACCGAAAUCCAAAAACCAGAUCAUCAAGAAGCGGGCAUUAAAAAAUCACCUGUGCAGAAGACUGGUGAAGACGAUUCAGUUACUGAGGAUGAGGGACUGGGUAAACCUCUAUCUUCAGUAGAAUUUGACAUGCAGUUGUCUCUUGGACUAGCUUGUGGUAACAAUGGAUUCUUGCACUCUGGUGCCCAUGCUGCCACUGCCAUGAAACUUCAGAAAGAGGAUGUUGAAUCUUCACGGUUUACUUCUGAUUGUUUCUUGCCAUGGUGGCCUUUGUACCAAGGUCCACCAUUCAUCUAUGUGACACCAUCUGACUCAACCUUGAUUCAAGGACCUUUAGAUUCUCACGAGGAUCGAAAGAUGGAAGUAGAGGAAAUUAUCAAGGAAACAUCCAGCGAAACAAACACGGUAGCUAAGAAAACAGAAGGAUACGGUGAUAAUAAUGUAGAAAACAAUGCGGAUGGUGUUUUUCCCAAGUGCCGAAAACACUUGGAGCGGAGAACUCACCCUGGUGACUGCAAGAAGGGUUUUGUGCCUUACAAAAGAUGCUUAGCAGAGAGAGAUGUCAAGUCUCCUGUAAUUGUUUCUGAAGAACGUCAGGCACAAAGAACCAGGGUGUGUUCAUAACACUGCCUACUCAGGUAAGACACGAGCUUAUCUGGUAGCAUAGAACCUGUUUAUAACUGAUCCGCAUGAUUCUUGGACUCCCUCUGCUCCGCAAUUGUGUAAUAUUCC
rnacentral:lncRNA from 1 species